UGGGGAAUAUUGCACAAUGGGCGCAAGCCUGAUGCUGCCAUGCCGCGUGUAUGAAGAAGGCCUUCGGGUUGUAAAGUACUUUCAGCGGGGAGGAAGGGAGUAAAGUUAAUACCUUUGCUCAUUGACGUUACCCGCAGAAGAAGCACCGGCUAACUCCGUGCCAGCAGCCGCGGUAAUACGGAGGGUGCAAGCGUUAAUCGGAAUUACUGGGCGUAAAGCGCACGCAGGCGGUUUGUUAAGUCAGAUGUGAAAUCCCCGGGCUCAACCUGGGAACUGCAUCUGAUACUGGCAAGCUUGAGUCUCGUAGAGGGGGGUAGAAUUCCAGGUGUAGCGGUGAAAUGCGUAGAGAUCUGGAGGAAUACCGGUGGCGAAGGCGGCCCCCUGGACGAAGACUGACGCUCAGGUGCGAAAGCGUGGGGAGCAAACAGG
rnacentral:rRNA from 1 species